rnacentral:snRNA from 1 species
AAAUGUCACAGCUCUUUAGAAUUUGUUUAGCAGGUUUUCUGGUCCACAUGGGAAUCCUGC